rnacentral:lncRNA from 1 species
GAGGAUCUAUUUAGAUUAAUGUUUGAUUUUGUAACACCCUGAAUUUGAGCCUAGAAGUUUUGGGCCUUGAGGAUGGGAGCGGUUGAAGGCAGCUUAUAAUAUUCUGUUGUGCGUGAAAAUUUUGUAGUUGAAGGCUUGUUUUAGUGGUUAAGUGUGCUGAGAAGUGUUGGAGAAGUCCUGGGUUCAAACCUGGACUCUAGCAAAAAUUUUGGUUUAAGGUGAAUCAAACCCUGGGUGUAGUAGGUAGGCCUUAAGAAUAUUGUUGGAGAAAUUGUGACACAAAAAGCCUUGUGGCUUAUUGACAAGUAGCGUGUGGAGCAUUUAAGGG